GACGAACCGUGCGAACGUUGUCCGGAAUCACUUGGGACGUUAAAGGGCGCGUAGGCGGGCUAUCUAAGUCCGGGGAUGAAAUUCCUCCAAGCUACAACUGGAGAACGGCCUCGGAUACUGAUGGUCUCGAGGGGGAUAGGGGCACACGGAACUGUGGGUGGAGCGGUGAAAUGCGUUGAUAUCCAUAGGAACUCCGGUGGCGAAAGCGGUGUGCUGGAUCCCUUCGUGACGACUGA
rnacentral:rRNA from 1 species